GAUGAACGCUGGCGGCGUGCUUAACACAUGCGAGUCGAACGAAGCACCUCUCCCGAAGAUUGACACAGCUUGCUGUAGAUUGAUUCAUUUGAGGUGACUGAGCGGCGGACGGGUGAGUAACGCGUGGGUAACCUGCCUCAUAGAGGGGGACAACAGUUGGAAACGACUGCUACUACCGCAUAGUAAGAAGAAUUCGCAUGUUUUCUUCUUGAAAGAUUAUCGCUAUGAGAUGGACCCGCGUCUGAUUAGCUAGUUGGUAAGGUAACGGCUUACCAAGGCGACGAUCAGUAGCCGGCUUGAGAGAGUGAACGGCCACAUUGGGACUGAGACACGGCCCAAACUCCUACGGGAGGCAGCAGUGGGGAAUAUUGCACAAUGGGGGAAACCCUGAUGCAGCGACGCCGCGUGAGUGAAGAAGUAUUUCGGUAUGUAAAGCUCUAUCAGCAGGGAAGAUAAUGACGGUACCUGACUAAGAAGCCCCGGCUAACUACGUG
rnacentral:rRNA from 1 species